AUACAUGCAAGUCGAACGAACUCUGGUAUUGAUUGGUGCUUGCAUCAUGAUUUACAUUUGAGUGAGUGGCGAACUGGUGAGUAACACGUGGGAAACCUGCCCAGAAGCGGGGGAUAACACCUGGAAACAGAUGCUAAUACCGCAUAACAACUUGGACCGCAUGGUCCGAGUUUGAAAGAUGGCUUCGGCUAUCACUUUUGGAUGGUCCCGCGGCGUAUUAGCUAGAUGGUGGGGUAACGGCUCACCAUGGCAAUGAUACGUAGCCGACCUGAGAGGGUAAUCGGCCACAUUGGGACUGAGACACGGCCCAAACUCCUACGGGAGGCAGCAGUAGGGAAUCUUCCACAAUGGACGAAAGUCUGAUGGAGCAACGCCGCGUGAGUGAAGAAGGGUUUCGGCUCGUAAAACUCUGUUGUUAAAGAAGAACAUAUCUGAGAGUAACUGUUCAGGUAUUGACGGUAUUUAACCAGAAAGCCACGGCUAACUACGUGCCAGCAGCCGCGGUAAUACGUAGGUGGCAAGCGUUGUCCGGAUUUAUUGGGCGUAAAGCGAGCGCAGGCGGUUUUUUAAGUCUGAUGUGAAAGCCUUCGGCUCAACCGAAGAAGUGCAUCGGAAACUGGGAAACUUGAGUGCAGAAGAGGACAGUGGAACUCCAUGUGUAGCGGUGAAAUGCGUAGAUAUAUGGAAGAACACCAGUGGCGAAGGCGGCUGUCUGGUCUGUAACUGACGCUGAGGCUCGAAAGUAUGGGUAGCAAACAGGAUUAGAUACCCUGGUAGUCCAUACCGUAAACGAUGAAUGCUAAGUGUUUGGAGGGUUUCCGCCCUUCAGUGCUGCAGCUAACGCAUUAAGCAUUCCGCCUGGGGAGUACGGCCGCAAGGCUGAAACUCAAAGGAAUUGACGGGGCCCGCACAAGCGGUGGAGCAUGUGGUUUAAUUCGAAGCUACGCGAAGAACCUUACCAGGUCUUGACAUACUAUGCAAAUCUAAGAGAUUAGACGUUCCCUUCGGGGACAUGGAUACAGGUGGUGCAUGGUUGUCGUCAGCUCGUGUCGUGAGAUGUUGGGUUAAGUCCCGCAACGAGCGCAACCCUUAUUAUCAGUUGCCAGCAUUAAGUUGGGCACUCUGGUGAGACUGCCGGUGACAAACCGGAGGAAGGUGGGGAUGACGUCAAAUCAUCAUGCCCCUUAUGACCUGGGCUACACACGUGCUACAAUGGAUGGUACAACGAGUUGCGAACUCGCGAGAGUAAGCUAAUCUCUUAAAGCCAUUCUCAGUUCGGAUUGUAGGCUGCAACUCGCCUACAUGAAGUCGGAAUCGCUAGUAAUCGCGGAUCAGCAUGCCGCGGUGAAUACGUUCCCGGGCCUUGUACACCCCGCCCGUCACACCAUGAGAGUUUGUAACACCCAAAGUCGGUGGGGUAACCUUUUAGGAACCAGCCGCU
rnacentral:rRNA from 2 species